GGGUUUAAAAGCUGCAGAUAAAUGAUUCAGUCUGGAGGUCAAGAGGUAUCCAAAGAUGCUGCAGUCAAGCAGAAUUGAAGACAGCCACUUGUGAGGAAGGUGGAAGCUGAGCAACCUGCUACCUAAAAUGUAUUUUGAAGCAUGGAAAAUUUUGAUGAGCAGAAACCAAUACAUUUAUAAACACAGUAACCU